AGUGAACGCUGGCGGUAGGCCUAACACAUGCAAGUCAAACGGCAGCACAGUAAGAGCUUGCUCUUACGGGUGGCGAGUGGCGGACGGGUGAGGAAUACAUCGGAAUCUACUUUUUCGUGGGGGAUAACGUAGGGAAACUUACGCUAAUACCGCAUACGACCUACGGGUGAAAGCAGGGGAUCUUCGGACCUUGCGCGAUUGAAUGAGCCGAUGUCGGAUUAGCCAGUUGGCGGGGUAAAGGCCCACCAAGGCGACGAUCCGUAGCUGGUCUGAGAGGAUGAUCAGCCACACUGGAACUGAGACACGGUCCAGACUCCUACGGGAGGCAGCAGUGGGGAAUAUUGGACAAUGGGCGCAAGCCUGAUCCAGCCAUACCGCGUGGGUGAAGAAGGCCUUCGGGUUGUAAAGCCCUUUUGUUGGGAAAGAAAAGCAGCAGGUUAAUACCCCGCUGUUCUGACGGUACCCAAAGAAUAAGCACCGGCUAACUUCGUG
rnacentral:rRNA from 1 species